UGUCUGCCCAGAAUGAACACUCAGAGUGAAAACCAGGCUUUGCUGAUGGUGCAGAGGGAGGAUCUCAGCUGGGUGCACACAAUGAAUGCCUGAAUUGCAGCCAGCUGAGGGGAAUCUGCAGGUGCCAGGUUCCACCUCUGGGCCUGGCCGCUGCCAUUCCGACAACGCUGCGGGGGCCCGAGCGAUGCGGAGCUCUGUGAGCCGUGCCAAGAAGAACCAGGCACGCCGAGAGCAGAUGCUGCCCACUGCCCAUGGCUUUCAGCGAUGUGAAUGCCAGGAGACACAUUGGACUCCAGCAGCUCUCAGCCUUAGCAUCCACUGGGAGAACAUUCCUGGGGCCAAUGAAAUCACAUAAAUUCAUUGUGGAUGACAUCACCAACCAGAGCACAUUGAUUUGUUCUGCUGUUAGGCUGAUGGAAAGUUUGGAUUUGACAAGUGCUGCUGGACAGCUUCUUAACGAAACCAUUCAGGCUCAGAACAAGGAGUUUAAGACGGGGGUGAGUACCCUGUUGUUCCUGGUUGGAGCAUGGAGCAGUGCUGUGCUGGAGUGCCUCCAGCAGAACGUUCCUGUUCCAGCUAUAGUGUCUGUGAUGUCUGAGGGGUUGGACUCCUGCUGUGAGAGAGUCCAGUGUCUUCAAAUGCCAAUACACCACGUAAACAAAGAGCUGUGUUCUAGCAGAGAUAGGCCAAAGGCUUUUGAAAGCAAAACUGGCCAAGCUGGAUGGGACGGUCUUACAAAUCCUUGGAAUUUGCUGUGUUUUCAGAGAGAUCAUUCUGCAACAGAGGAGGUAAUUCCAAUAAAUUCUUGUUCCCAUCAAGGAGAUGAUUGUAAUUUUAACAAGUUCCUGGUUUCACCCUUGGCUGGCAUUGGUUCAGUGGCUUCUGUUGUCAAGGCAGUGGGUGACAGAAGUUCAUCUGCGCUGUCUGGAAGUGGUGUUACUGCUUCCAGCUGCCUCGCACGGAAGUUAACCCACAGCAGGCACUUCAGCACUCUAGGGAAAAGCCCUUUUGCGAGUCAGCACGGUCACGUUCAGGGACACCUUUCAGGACCAUCAGCAGAUCUGUGUGGAUCUUGUGGUUUAGGACACCUGGCAGUGGCUCUGAGCCACGGAAACCAGACCAGCGUGAAGCUGCUACAAAGCAUUGCUGCUUAUCAGCAAGAGAGAGCAGAGCGCAGUGGCUCUGCCCAGGUUAAUAUCGCAGAGAUUGUGACGUGCUGUGUGCUGGGGCUGCCCGAGAGCUAUUCCUGUGUCUCCCCAGGCUUUGUCACAUUGGUGUCACCGGAGCAAGCCGCAGUCAUCAAACACUUUGCCGACAAACCCCUCCGGGUUCUGCUGGUGGACGGUGACCUCGCGGAAGGGUACCGACACUUAGGUUUUAACAGACCACCUAACGUAAGGACCAUUUUGGAGCGUCCCAAUCCACAGGGAGGCAGGGCAGGAGAUGUGUGGCUAAGCAGAAUGUCGGAUAUUCUGAUGAGCUUUGAAGUAAACCUGGUUUUGGUCAAGGGAAACGUGUGCAAAAACUUCAUGGAAAGGUGCAUCGCCGGCAGGAUAUUGGCAAUUGGCUAUGUGGCUCGGGAUGUGCUGCGUGCCUUCGGGGCAGCCACUGGUGCCCAGGCGGUGACGUACCUGAGCCAGCUGAACGCUUCCUCCGUCGGCAACGGGGCCUGGGCGGAGCUGUGGGAGAGCAGCGAUGGGCGCGCUGUGGAUCUGGCUGAGCUGCUGCCGGCGCGGAUCAGCGCGGGGGGCAUCGCCCUGCUCACGGCCGUGCUCACCACCGCCCUGCCCUCCAAGGCGCAGCUCCUCGAGGACCAGUUCUGGGCUUUGCUCUAUCGACUCCAUCACGCUCUAAAGGACGGGAAGGUUUUCCCUGGGGGCGGUGCAGUGGAGCUCUUGUGCCUCAGUCACAUCCAGGCGCUCGCAGAGCAGCCCGGGCGACCGGGAAGCGACAGAGCUGUGAGAGAACUUCCCAUUCCCUGGCUGGCAGAGUAUAAAUCCAUUGUGCUCCAGGCACUGGCCAGCGGCUGGAAGCGGUACCUCUCCGUGCUCCUGUGUAACACUGCAAAGGCCGGCUCGGAGCUGGAAGCAGCUGCAUCCGUGGAUCAUCACCUCCAGAAAGCAGCGGCUUGUGGCUCUCCCUCAGCUUACAUUUUGGAAGAGUUUAGGAGAGGUGGAUUGCUCAGGAGUGGCUAUGAGCCCUUCCCUGACCAGGUCACAGAUUUAAAGGUUUGUGAUAACGUUGCAGCCAAGACAGAGGCGUGGAGGAGAGCUCUGGACCUGGUGCUGCUGGUGCUUCAAACUGAUGCCGAAAUUAUCACAGGCCCCAGAGGGAAUCAGAUCCUGAACUCACCUGUGUCAAGCGAAUUUAUGUUUUUAUAGGAUUUUGAGGAUUUGUAAGUCCAUGAGUCAAAUUUGUAAGUCCCUGGGAGAAGCCUGGGUGCAAUCUACAUGUCUUUAUAAAGCAAUCAGUGAGAUGUGAUUGUGACUUUAGAAUGUAACAGCAGAAGUCAGAAUGAGAGACAGUCACAAGGCCAACGAAAUGGAACCAUUUAUAAACUAGGUACAUCCUGUAUCCUGGGUUACUUAAAAUUCUGUCUGAUAUGCACAGAAGAUUACCAUGCAAGCUCUCCUUAAGGCAUCCUCUCCUGCAAUUUGGAAUACAGCAUACUGGUGUGGCUCCCUCAGCCUCAGAUCUCCUAAAACUCUCUGCACCAUGGAGUGGAGAUCCUGGGCCUGUGUGCCAUGGCGCUCGGCACAGAAAUGAUUUCAACAUCUGCCACAGGCAAUUCCAGCUCCUGCCAGGCAGAGGCUCCUCCUCUGGACACAAAGGCUGUUUGUGUAGAGCAUGGUGUGAUGGCAGAGCUAAGCUUUCACAUGUGAUGUGCUUGGGAAAUUGGGAAAUGGCUGAGAUUUCUGGAGUUGGCACAUCUUGCUCCCCGCUGGAACCAAGUCCCAGUCAGGUGCCUGGUUUCUCCAUUGCAUCCCAGUAUUGUCAUUCUCAUCUUACUCCACCUUCUGUUUGGGGCUGAUGGCAUUGUAUUUGAUAUUUCUCUCUAUAAAACAAAAUGUUAGGCCUCUGCACAUUGAGGAUUUCCUGAAAUGUAGUAGAGGUCUCCUAAUUCAUAGCAACUCUUGUCCCAAGCUGAGCCAGCCUGGAGGACACAGCCACCUGCAAAUUCUGCCCAGUGAUCAGUGGCUGUCAGGAGGCACCUGAGAGUUUGUCUGCUACCAGGUGUGCUGAAAAUGUGAGCUGGGAAAUGUAGGAGACUGUGUGUGCCUACAGUGCUCCCCAGGCAGGCAAAGCAGCGACUGUGGGAAGGUGAGGAGAAAACUGUUAGACUGUUUGUUUGCACUGAACUCCCUUAGAUACCCUAGACCAGGGCUGAUGGAGAAAUUAGGAGAACGUUUUCCUUUUUUUUAGAAGAGAGAGUUGGAGAGGGCAGUAGAAUCUAGGAGAAAAGUUAUGGAGUGACAAGAGAUUUUUAGCUCUGCUCACAAGGAUGAGGCGACUGGCAUGCCUGAGUCAUCCCAUCAGUCACACUGCCAGCAAAAAAUCAUUCUGAAGAAGGGGAAGAACUGACCUUCUUCCAUGCAAAGCACCUUGGCUUCCCAUAACGAACAUCUACAGGAGCUCAACCAACAUCACCAGGUAUCAAGUGAAUGAAAUGUCUUGUAACUGUUUGGGGUUUUUUUUGUAUCUUUUUGUGUGUAAUCUCUAUAAAACUCCAGUGUAAACUCCCCGUUACAUGAAAAUGCCAAACUCAAAUGCGGCUGAGCUGCUGCUUCAAGGAUGGACUUGCUGUUCUGGAACCAGCUGAAUUGCCAGGACUGCUGUGAACAACAGGCAUUUCUGGAGGUAACAGAGACCCAUUAUAAGCCUGAAGAUUUGUUUUACCCAGUUUUAUCCCUCUCUCUGUAGAUCAGCAAUCCUUUUGAGAUAAUUCCACACCAGCACAGUCACAGCAUAGUUUGUAUGACAUAAUUUGGAAAAAUCAAAAAACUACAAAUUUAACUCCUCCAUCUGCCACCAGCAUCAUUGCAUUAAUUAACCAUUUAUUGCAAAGCUGCAGGACCAAGACCUUUUUUCUAACCAAGCAUGAAUAGAUCCAUGGUCUUAAAGGGCUUUUUCUUUACAGAUAAUGUUGCUCCAAGAACUAAUGUCCACAGGAAUGAUUCCAGCCCAGGUUAGAGAAGAGGGAGAACAGCUCAGGUGCAUGCACAAACCAGAGACUGGGGUUGAUACUGAAUAGUGGGAGGAAAAAAAGAACACACCCCUCUGUGUGUUUUGGCUUCCUACCUGUUUAUUCUCUCAUAAUACCCAUUUCUGUAGAUUUUUGAAAGGCACCCACAGUUGUGCUUCUGCUGAUUUCGAUGCUGGUUUGCUGUGAGUACUGGGAUUCAGCUUGUUGCAUUGCAUCCCUGAAAAUUAUAGGGACAAGGGCAGUUUGGGGCAGAGAUGAAGAAUGGAAGGAGAGAGUAUUCCCCAGUUUCUCCUUCUGCAUCAGGCCCUUCAUGACCCCUGUGGAGUGGCUUCAUGUCACAUGCAAUCAAACCUGGAGUUCCCAGCAGCCAUGUGUUCCCAUGGUGAGACAGCCAUGUGUUCCCAUGGUGUUUGGGAGGAGUCUUUCUCAGAGGCUGGAAGGAAAGGCUGGGCCAUGAUCAUGCACAGAUGGUGAAAGAGCUCAUGAGACAGGAGAGAAACCAAGGGCUGUAUUUGGUUUCCCUGCCUAGCAGAGAUUCAAAACAAAAAACUGUUUAGUUCAAAAGGAAUUCUUUCCUUGGGGAGCAAGUGCUACUCCAAACAAUAGGAUUAUUUUUUCAUUAUUGCAGGAGUAGCAAAGAUAGCAUGCAGUUUUGAUUUAGAAGUAAUGGGAAGAUUUGCCUUGACUGUGUUUUAUUCCAGCUGAAAUCAGUAGAAUGGGGUUUGGUGCUAUUCACAACUGUUGUCCACUGUGUUGUGAGACCAAAUAUUUAACCAGCAUUGCAGAUUUGGAGGGAUGACUAAAAAUAACACAGUUGGUGAACUUACUUAUUUCCAAGGUAUGAUUUGAGUCACUGCUUUCACUGACUACGCUUAAAAACAAAACAAAACCAAACAACAAAAACUUUAUUCGUUAGGACUGGAGAGCCAGAAUCGCCCCACAGGAGCUGUAUAAAAUAAAUUUUAUUUAUAUAUGUACAUAUAUUCACACAUUCUAGAGCAGAGCACUUUCUCAAUCAGCAGCAUUAAUUUACAACAUAGUCAUACAACUCUGAACUGAUUGAACUGAUUCACCUCCUGUUUAUGUCAAAGAAAACCAUCCAAAAACCUCCUUUGUUAGAAUGGCUACCUAUUAUCAGUAAUUGUUUUGGUUUUUUUUCAAAAGAGCCUUGUAGAAAAGGAUCCCUGCAGUAAACUGAAAGAAAUUGUGUCUUGUUUGGGGUAUUAAUUCCUGUAUUCCAUCUGCUGCUCCCUGCAUUUGCAGUUCUACCUGUGAGUCACAGCUCCAAGACACGCCUGUACCAGUUUUAGGGGAAGUGAGCACAAUUCCACAUGGGUAAUUCCACAUCAGUAUGUCUUUGAUUCCCUACACUGAUGAAAAUUAACUGGUACAUCUGCAGCAAUACAGAUAAUAUUGAUUAGAUCAGGUUAAUUAACUGGCAAAGCCCUGCUAAUAUAACAUUAUUCCAGCUCCCUGAGUAUUCCUUGCUCACGGUAAGGGGCAAUCAUUGCUCAGUACCUCUCAGUGCCCUUCAUCUCUUGGUUUAUGUGAGCACUGUUUAAAUAACCCCCCCAACCAUCCCACCCAAAUUCUGGUGCUUUCUGGAGCUGUUCAGCUGGGACAGUGUUGCUCAUGGCUGCCAGAAGCCAGGAAACUCAGAUGUCAGUGGCAGUAAGGGAGCUUUUCUGGAGCUGAAGCCCAAAUCUCUCUUUGUUUAUCUGAAGUACCAGGCAGUUAACUUGAAAAAUGGCCAUUUAUUGUGACCCUGGCUGUGCAAUUAUUCAGGCUUGUAAUUGACAUCUCAAACACAAGAGCAGUGCUGUAAAAAAGCACUGAGAAUUGCCAAAUGUCAGAGCAGUCAUUGCUGUACACAGAAUUACUGUGGCUAAUUUGGGAACUGCUCUCACAUCUCAGCUCCAGUGCUGGAUACUUGGGACUGUUUCCCAGCAGAGCUUGAGGAGGACCUCCAGCUUCCCAGAUUCCUCUCACAGCCAUUCAUAAGGCCCAUAAAACUGUGGAAGAAGAGAGAAGUUUCAAGGCCAGGAGAAGCUGGAGGAAAUCCAGUGUCUCUUGUUUGUUCACAUCUCAUUAUUGAACAGACUUAUUAUUAAAGUGCUGAAGAAAGGCCUUCCAAAAAUACAGGAGCUGAUUUAAAAGAGUUUUGUCUGUGCCACGAGGUCCUGCUUGAAUUAACUGUGUUUGAAUUAACUGUGUUUGCUCACCUUGAAUGGGAAUUCCCAGAUGGUUUUGCUGAUGUGCGUGUGUGACAAGAUGAAAUUUCCCAGAUAUGUUAUUCUCAGGAGACUGGAGGGAAAGGAGAAAUCACACUUGGGUCCUGAAUUAAUACAGGGACCGAUCCCUUUCUCAUUAAAAACAUCAGUGAAGUUUCCGUGGUUUUGGGGAUCAGUCCCUGACAAACUGAAUUUUGCAAAACCAUGAUUGUCCUUCUUCAAAAUUCUGGCAAAGGGUGGCUUUUGGAUAAUUCUUAGUAGGAGGAAAUGCAAAACUGAAGACUGCAAAUGAUGUGGAGUGGAACCUUCAUUAAAAGCCACUCUCUCUCAGAUGAAUGUCUAAUAAGCUCUGGAAGCAAUAACCAUUGGUUAGGGAUGACAUGGAGAAUAUUUCCUUCAGAGAUGCAAUAGGUUGAGCCAUGCUAUCCACAGAAGAAUUUGAUGAGGUUUAGAAGCCCAGCUCAUCCCUAGGUGAAGGGAUGCCUCCUGCAGGGAAUGUCACUCAGGAAGAACAGUCAGCUUUCUAAACAGGCAUAUCCAGGUCUGUCCAUCUGUUUCUUAUCUUAAAACCGCAAACUCUGUAGAGAAGAAACUCUUUACUCUGUCCAUAUGGUAUGUAACAAAAGGAGGCCUUGGAUAAUGAUCAGGAGUCAGAAUUGUUUAGGAAUGAAUGAAUGUUUGAUGUCACCAAAGAUACAGUUUCUUCACCUCAAAAGAAAUUUCCUUGAUUUGCAAAGCUGAUGAAGCUGAUGGAAUUUCUCUAAAAGCCUUCUCACUUGCCAUACACAAUUCUCACAAGUCUGAACUCCAUAGGGAUAAUAUCAGAGUAGCUCUUGGAGAGUAAUAGUAGACUUUGACAAUGAACACAGUAGCUCUAUUUUGGAAUGCAGGGUGAAGAUUAAACCACAGCAGUUAUAAUGUGCCAAGCAGAGCUCUGAGUAGUCCUCCAACACACAGUGCAAACUCAGAGGAGCAGAACGGUUCCUCUACGUCCAAGCUGGCAGGAUGGAAGGAAUGUUGUCUUUUCAAAUGCCUGGGAAAUGAAGUGAGACCACAGUAUUUGUGUGAGGGGUUGGAGUUUCACUAAUUCUUUUUAACAUAUCUUUGAAAUAAUUCCCCAUAAUCUGCCAUUGUUUCCUUUGCAAGCCAUCUCUUUAUUUGUGGCUUUAAUAUUCAUCUCCAGGGUUGAGUGUCUGUUUGUCUUGGUCUGACAAAAGUGUUGGAAGUUGCUCCUUGUCUCAUUUUCUGUAUUGCUGGUGCAGUGCUGGGUCAGGCAGAUUUGUAGCAAUGGUUUUAAUAUUGCAAGCGAAAAAUUGACAGACUUUAUUGCUGCAGGUUAGAGGAAAGUCCUUCCUUCUCCUCUUUGGUUUAGUUGGGGUUGUUUUGGUUGUGGUUUAUUUUUUUAAGUGGAAACUUAAAAUGCUUUUUAGAAUUGUGCUUUCAUCUGUCUGCCUCUUCCUCUGGUCUGUUUGCUUUUGAGUCCCCAAAAUUAGCAAGAGUAAUGUUCUAGUUAGCAGUGCAGUAGGAAAGAAUAACUUGACUUUAUAAAAUAUAAUAAACAGUGUAAGACCUGGAACAAGUACAAAACCUUCAGACAAGGUGAAAACCCCCAGAAGAAUACCUCCAUUCAAAAUGUCUGGGGAUGUCUGCAAAUACUGCCAGCAGCUUAAGUCUUGUCCUUUUCCUUUCCAAACAUGUGUAUUAGGUUUUCCUUUAAAAAUACAUACUGUAUCCCUGAACUCUUCCACGCUCCCAGUCAAAGAACUAUUUCCUUUAGACCAGUUGAUUCAUACCCAAAAUAAAAGCUGUGAGACAUUAUUUUGGUCUUGCUUGUUUCCCUCUUGUGAUAUUGAUGGAAAACAUUCUCUUUGAAAUAUUCAAGCUGUAAAGCCACCAAUCAUCUCUAGCUAUUGAGGGUUACCUGGCUCGACAUCUCAGGAAUUCCACAGGGCUCAAAUUCAGUUCUACCUGACCUGAUCCAGCUGUGUUUAAAAUGUCCCUUAUCCUCUGGGGCCUGUCUGUGCUGUACAGCAAAUCUUACAAUGGACAAAUAAAGUGCAGUGUACAGAUUCGUGUUUUUGUUUGGAAUGGAGCUAACUGUGAUCUUCCCUCCUCUUGGUAUUUUUACAACAAAAUACUUGCUUUGCAGACAGGGCAAAAAGGUUUUGUUUUGUGUAGGAAGCUCAGCUACAGGCUUAUCUUUCUGUAAUGCCUGUAGGUUAAUUCAGUGAAGAUAAAGCCCUUGCAUCACACAAUCUGUUCUGUACCUGGGUUUCUAAAUGCACAUGGAUGACUUAGAAUAGUAUGCCUAACAGAUCAGGGUAAUUUGUUCCUUAAAUAUGAGCUUUGUCAUUUUGGGGUCAAAUAUGAUGGAGUGAGAGACUGUCUGUUGUUUAAUGUGUCAUCUGUUCCACCUGGGUGACACCCAUCUGUUUGAGUGUCCCAAGCAGAGGCUAAUUUUGUAGCUGUGCUGUUGCCAGCAGCCUGAGAAGGAUUCCUUGUGGCAUUUAUUUACUUCUUUUUAUUUGCCUUAAAAUCGCUGCUGAUUACGGCCUGACUUUCUCUUUGUGGUCAGAUGAGAACAGCAGUGAAAAUUCCACUGAAAUUUAACUUACUGGGAAGGAGCCACAAGUGGUCUAGGAUUUAUUCUUGGAUUGUUUUGCUGUGUCACCAUCUUUUAUUAGCUGGUAAUUUCCUGUUCAUCAAUGACAGAGCAGUCAAACAGCACAUCCUCUGCAGUGGAGGUUGUCCCUGCGUGAGUAGCUUUUUGUAUUUACAGUCUAGGCAAGAGAGAAUUCUUCAUAGGGGUAAAAAAUGUGCGUGGAAGGAAGGGAUUAAUAUUAAGAUGAUGGCCUCAUCAUCUGAUUUGGCCUCUUAAAUCCUUCUGGAGGUGCCAGCUCUAGAAAUUCUCCCAGUUAAUUUUCUUACAAUCCCCUCUGUAUUCUGCUUCUAACAAAGUCCUGUGAGAAUGACUGUAACAGAUGAGAAAAUUAACUGAGAUUUGAAUCACAUUUGAAAUUGGCAGGAAAGUGAGGGGCUUAAAGCCAAGCUCCACAACAUCCUCAAAUACGGAAUAUUUGGUAUCAAGAGCCCAGUGUUUGCUUCUGAGAACUAGGGCUGCUUGUGAUUUGCUGCAAUCAAUCAGGACUUAGCAGUCCCAUCAAAGAAAUGUCACUGGGAAUGAAGGGCACGAAGGGAGAGCUUCCCUGGGGCAUAGCAGCAGCUGUGGCUGGGACCCCCUUCCUGCUGUUAUCUGGAGUCUGGAAAACCUGCCUGGAGAAUAUCACAAAUCCAUUUUUUGUUGCUGUUUGCUUUGGGUUUUUUUCAUGAGUUGAUUAGCAGAGGUUGGCUGCAGUUGAUAAUAGGGAUACCUGUGAGAACUGUGUGACCUGCUCAGACAUAAUUCUGAGGGCAUUAAUUACAUAUUGCUGAAAUUUCAAACCAUAAUUGGAGAUCAGUGUUAUGUUGCAGCCUUUGCAGUAAUCUGAAGCAGCUCUGUUCCACAAGAAAUUUUGGAGACAAGUUACCACCUGAAGCCUAAAACUGUUCCAUUGUCAUUAUUGCUCUUAGUUUUCAUUUUUAAAUCUUGCAAUUAGUGUUCUUAAAAAAAUAAUAAAUAAAGCAAAAGGCAAAUACAAACCAUCUGUGAAACAGAAAGAAAUUGUUAAAAGCUGCAUCCACAAGGAUCCCUGGGAAGAGUGCCACAACACAAGCAUUCAGCCAGCAUGAUAUAAUUACAAAUUGAACAUCUCUAAAACAAAUUCCACAUUGAAAAUAAAAAUGAAUUCUGCUUCUUUCUUUGUGGUAGAGGAUGAUAUUAAUCUCAGUUCUAGAAAUUACCACCUAUCCUCCUGCAAACUGCAAGGUCUGGGGAGUCUGCAUGCCCUCCACAGGUGGGGUUUUUUGGAGGGAGCACCUCAUGGGGCAUUGCUCAAAUCCAUGUUUCACUCAAGAGACUGAGUUCAGGAGGAUUCAGAGCAAGUGUGGAGCUUGCUAUGUUUUUUAGAGCUCUGACAUAAUGGCAGGUAAUGACAUUCUGUGUUCAUGGCAUAUAGAAACGUGCCUCUUGUUCCAGGAGAUGGCUUAUUCAGCUCAUAGCAACUGGAUUCAUUGAAAUAAAGGGCCAUUUUAUGUUGAGACAUAAUCAUUUUACACUUAACUAGGACACACUCUCCAAUAUGUUCUUAUUUCUUGCUUUUAUCUAAAGGAACAUUUUUCUGGCUUUAGUCAGACUGGA